UGCCGCUGGCGUGGACCUGCUCCGCCAGCUCCAGGCCGGCGCGCACGUAGCCGAGGGCGCCGACGGCGUUGGAGCCGCCGAUCGGCACC
rnacentral:tRNA from 1 species